rnacentral:rRNA from 1 species
AUUGAACGCUGGCGGCAUGCCUUACACAUGCAAGUCGAACGGCAGCACGGGAGCAAUCCUGGUGGCGAGUGGCGAACGGGUGAGUAAUAUAUCGGAACGUGCCCAGUCGUGGGGAUAACGUAGCGAAAGUUACGCUAAUACCGCAUACGAUCUAUGGAUGAAAGCGGGGGAUCGCAAGACCUCGCGCGAUUGGAGCGGCCGAUAUCAGAUUAGGUAGUUGGUGAGGUAAAGGCUCACCAAGCCGACGAUCUGUAGCUGGUCUGAGAGGACGACCAGCCACACUGGGACUGAGACACGGCCCAGACUCCGUACGGGAGGCAGCAGUGGGGAUUUGGACAAUGGGCGCAAGCCUGAUCCAGCAAUGCCGCGUGCAGGAUGAAGGCCUUCGGUUGU